GCUAUGUUGGCGUCUUGGAGUAACCACACGGAUCCACCACAAAUGGGACCCCCACCACCACCUGCGGGAGAACCCCCACACGUGCCCACGUUCGAUGAAUGGGUGGCACUAGGCAGCGAUAGUCCGGUUAGUACAUUUGCCUAACUACCGACAAACUAGUUCUCGUUCAUUCAACACUAUCAUAUCAUAUUUACCAUUAGAAUCUUCUCUCAAACAUGUAGGGGACCGGUGGCUCGACUCCUGCUCCGUCGACCCCAGUCACUCUGAUUUGGCAGAGUGAUGGUGGUCGCGGUGGUGGUUUUGGCGGAGGUGGUCUUCGCGGUGGUGGUUUUGGCGGAGGUGGUCUUGGCGGUAGUGGUUUUGGCGGAGGUGGUCUUGGCGGUGGUGGUUUUGGUGGCGGCGGUCUUUCUUGAUGUCGAUGAUGAUACCCGUGCAUGUGGCCAUCGUGCCAUACCUUUCAUGUUCCAUGUCUUGCACUAUUUAUGUUCAUGAACUUUCACCGGUGAUGAUCUUUAGAUGAUGGACUUGAGUAUGUUUAAAUGAUGAUGAUGAACUUGAGUAUGUUUAGA
rnacentral:lncRNA from 1 species